rnacentral:rRNA from 2 species
GGCGAGAAAACUUUAGCAAAUGUGCGAAAAGCACGACAAGGGUUAAUCCGAGUGGUUUCUGCUAAAGGAAACCUUUUGCCAGUUCCUAGAAACACUGGUGAAUAAGGGGUGGGCAAGUUCUGGUGUCAGCCGCCGCGGUAAAACCAGCACCUCAAGUGGUCAGGAUGAUUAUUGGGCCUAAAGCAUCCGUAGCCUGCUUUGUUAGUUUUCGGUUAAAUCUAUUCGCUCAACGAAUAGGCUGCCGGGAAUACUGCAAAGCUAGGGAGUGGGAGAGGUAGACGGUACUCGGUAGGAAGGGGGUAAAAAUCCUUUGAUCUAUUGAUGACCACCUGUGGCGAAGGCGGUCUACCAGAACACGUCCGACGGUGAGGGAUGAAAAGCUGGGGGAGCAAACCGGAUUAGAGUACCCGGGUAGUCCCAGCGUGUAAACUAUGCAAAC